rnacentral:misc_RNA from 1 species
GAUGGAAGAACGCAGCGAAAUGCGAUAAGUAAUGUGAAUUGCAGAAUUCAGUGAAUCAUCGAAUCUUUGAACGCACAUUGCGCCCCCUGGUAUUCCGGGGGGCAUGCCUGUUCGAGCGUCAUUUCACCACUCAAGCCUCGCUUGGUAUUGGGCAACGCGGUCCGCCGCGUGCCUCAAAUCGACCGGCUGGGUCUUCUGUCCCCUAAGCGUUGUGGAAACUAUUCGCUAAAGGGUGUUCGGGAGGCUACGCCGUAAAACAACCCCAUUUCUAAGGUUGACCUCGGAUCAGGUAGGGAUACCCGCUGAACUUAAGCAUAUCAAUAAGCGGAGGA